rnacentral:sRNA from 1 species
UUGCUAUCUGCGAUAUGGAAGAUUCGAACCUGCCGCAGGUUCGGGUCUCAUGCAGUGAGACAACGGAGCCGUUUACGGCGACGGCCCGAAGGACGAGCGAAGCGAGUCAUCCUGCAGGACCCACCA